UACGGAGGAUGCGAGCGUUAUCCGGAUUUAUUGGGUUUAAAGGGUGCGUAGGCGGGAUGCCAAGUCAGCGGUAAAAAUGCGGUGCUCAACGCCGUCGAGCCGUUGAAACUGGCGUUCUUGAGUGGGCGAGAAGUAUGCGGAAUGCGUGGUGUAGCGGUGAAAUGCAUAGAUAUCACGCAGAACCCCGAUUGCGAAGGCAGCAUGCCGGCGCCCUACUGACGCUGAGGCACGAAAGCGUGGGUAUCGAACGGG
rnacentral:rRNA from 1 species